CCCAGACUCCUACGGGAGGCAGCAGUGGGGGAUAUUGCACAAUGGGGGGAACCCUGAUGCAGCGACGCCGCGUGAAGGAAGAAGUAUCUCGGUAUGUAAACUUCUAUCAGCAGGGAAGAAAAUGACGGUACCUGACUAAGAAGCCCCGGCUAACUACGUGCCAGCAGCCGCGGUAAUACGUAGGGGGCAAGCGUUAUCCGGAUUUACUGGGUGUAAAGGGAGCGUAGACGGCGAUGCAAGUCUGAAGUGAAAGGCGGGGGCCCAACCCCCGGACUGCUUUGGAAACUGUAUAGCUGGAGUGCAGGAGAGGUAAGUGGAAUUCCUAGUGUAGCGGUGAAAUGCGUAGAUAUUAGGAGGAACACCAGUGGCGAAGGCGGCUUACUGGACUGUAACUGACGCUGAGGCUCGAAAGCGUGGGGAGCAAACAGGAU
rnacentral:rRNA from 1 species